rnacentral:rRNA from 1 species
ACAAUAAAUAACAAUGCCGGGCCUUCUUAGGUCUGGCAAUUGGAAUGAGAACAAUUUAAACCCCUUAUCGAGUAUCAAUUGGAGGGCAAGUCUGGUGCCAGCAGCCGCGGUAAUUCCAGCUCCAAUAGCGUAUAUUAUAGUUGUUGCAGUUAAAAAGCUCGUAGUUGGAUUUGUGGUGUGUCCAGUUGGCCUUUGCUCUUUGAGUGAUAGUGCUUUACUGGUCUGCCAUGUUUGGGUGGAAUCUGUGUGGCAUUAAGUUGUCGUGCAGGGGAUGCCCAUCGUUUACUGUGAAAAAAUUAGAGUGUUCAAAGCAGGCUUAUGCCUCUGAAUAUAUUAGCAUGGAAUAAUGAUAUAGGACCUUGGUACUAUUUUGUUGGUUUGCGCACUGAGGUAAUGAUUAAGAGGGACAGUUGGGGGUAUUUGUAUUCCAUUGUCAGAGGUGAAAUUCUUGGAUUUUUGGAAGACAAACUACUGCGAAAGCAUUUACCAAGGAUGUUUUCAUUUAUCAAGAACGAAAGUUAGGGGAUCGAAGAUGAUUAGAUACCAUCGUAGUCUUAACCAUAAACUAUGCCGACAAGGGAUUGGUGGAGUUUCGUUUCGUCUCCAUCAGCACCUUGUGAGAAAUCAUAAGUCUUUAGGUUCCGGGGGGAGUAUGGUCGCAAGGCUGAAACUUAAAGAAAUUGACGGAAGGGCACCACC